CCGAUAAUUUUAAUCUUGCCCUCGAAGUUGCAAACCCUGCAUCAAAGGAUGACAUAACUAAAUGGGGUUGCAAGGCUCCCAAAGUUCCAACAAAUCUAGACGAUGCUCUGUCGGGUUAUUUGGUUUUUGAGUUCAUGCAUUCAUGGUACGAUGGAUUGCUACAUUUUCCAGUACCCACGGACGGUUUUCAACUAAGGAAGCGAUUUUUGGUUCACAUCCUGAAGUAUGAAGCAAAUGAAGCUUUAAACAAUAUCCCAGCCAUUGCACGAAGCCUUAUUGAUCGCAUAAAAAAGUGGACCUUCAAGAAAGAACCGUCAUCCGCGAAUAAAUAGAAGAUACAAUGUUGCUUAGUUA